rnacentral:rRNA from 1 species
GAUCAUGGCUCAGAUUGAACGCUGGCGGCAUGCUUUAACACAUGCAAGUCGAACGCGAAAGGGCUUCGGCCCGAGUAGAGUGGCGGACGGGUGAGUAAUGCGUGGGAAUCUACCCUAGAGCGGGGGACAACCCGGGGAAACUCGGGCUAAUACCGCAUACGUCCUACGGGAGAAAGGGGGCCUCUGAAUGUAAGCUCCCACUCCAGGAUGAGCCCACGUCCGAUUAGCUAGUUGGUAGGGUAAAGGCCUACCAAGGCCACGAUCGGUAGCUGGUCUGAGAGGAUGACCAGCCACACUGGGACUGAGACACGGCCCAGACUCCUACGGGAGGCAGCAGUGGGGAAUAUUGGACAAUGGGCGCAAGCCUGAUCCAGCAAUGCCGCGUGUGUGAAGAAGGCCUGCGGGUUGUAAAGCACUUUCAGUGGGGAAGAACGGGCCAAGGUUAAUACCCCUGGCUUCUGACGUUACCCACAGAAGAAGCACCGGCUAACUCCGUG